AAUAAAAUAUGAGGCGGGCUGGACCUCUCGGGGUUACAGCCUUGCUGAAUUAUUCACCCUUGUCUUUUGCGUACUUCUUGUUUCCUUGGUGGGUUCGCCCACCACUAGGACAAACAUAAACCUUUUGUAAUUGCAAUCAGCGUCAGUAACAAAUUAAUAAUUACAACUUUCAACAACGGAUCUCUUGGUUCUGGCAUCGAUGAAGAACGCAGCGAAAUGCGAUAAGUAGUGUGAAUUGCAGAAUUCAGUGAAUCAUCGAAUCUUUGAACGCACAUUGCGCCCUUUGGUAUUCCAAAGGGCAUGCCUGUUCGAGCGUCAUUUGUACCCUCAAGCUUUGCUUGGUGUUGGGCGUCUUGUCUCUAGCUUUGCUGGAGACUCGCCUUAAAGUAAUUGGCAGCCGGCCUACUGGUUUCGGAGCGCAGCACAAGUCGCACUCUCUAUCAGCAAAGGUCUAGCAUCCAUUAAGCCUUUUUUUCAACUUUUGACCUCGGAUCAGGUAGGGAUACCCGCUGAACUUAAGCAUAUCUAACCGGGGAAAAAAAA
rnacentral:rRNA from 1 species